UACGUAGGGGGCUAGCGUUGUCCGGAUUUAUUGGGCGUAAAGAGCGUGUAGGCGGCCAGGUAGGUCGGCUGUGAAAACUCGAGGCUCAACCUCGAGCUGUCGGCCGAAACCAUCUGGCUAGAGUCCGGAAGAGGAGAAUGGAAUUCCCGGUGUAGCGGUGAAAUGCGCAGAUAUCGGGAAGAACACCCGUGGCGAAGGCGGUUCUCUGGGACGGUACUGACGCUGAGACGCGAAGCGUGGGAGCGAACAGG
rnacentral:rRNA from 1 species